CCAAGCUCUCCGACAGCUCAGGGUGUUUGGGAAUCAGACUGACUAGACACAAAAGAGAAGCAUUUGCAGCUUCUGGGAGGGCUGUGAAAUGCAGCAUGCCCUGGGAGGAACAUAAGAACUUAAAACCUACAAAUGAAUGGAGGCUUUUUGGCUAAUUUAGCUCAUUUGGCUGCUCCUGUAUAUCCUACAGCCAUUUCUUGAAACAAGCCAGAGUAUCUGCUUGGGCAACAUGGAUGGGUAAUGUGUUUCAAGCUCCUACAAUUCUUUGUGUAAAAAUUGUCUCC
rnacentral:lncRNA from 1 species